rnacentral:lncRNA from 1 species
AGAGUGCUCAGUUCAGCCAGAGAUCCCAGAACCAGCCGCUGUCCCCUGGCAAGAGAGGCCCAGUGCUGAGCCCUAGGUUGCAUCCAAAAGUUUCUCACAAGCUUAAAGAAAAAUGAGAAAUUGUCAACUCUUACGCUGAAGAACCCACAAAAAUGCAGCAGCGCCAGGGGUGAAGAAGCAGCAACAGACCCAGGAAUCUUUAGAAACAUCCCGAUUUGAGGGGCCUCCAUGUGAGAGCAGAUGAUAGGCGGAUGCCAUGGUCUCCUGAGCUUUGCAGAGAAAGAGGAGCUGCAGAGGGGCUGGUGCGUCUGAAAAGACCCUUCGAGAAACAUGCACAGAGCCGGGUCACACGCACAAAUCUGAGAUGGGACAGAGGCAGACUGUGCAAUUAUAUUUCAGCAUCAUGAGUUCCCAGAUUCUGAGCAAAGAAUUUUGUGGUCCCUUUCCUUUUAAAAAUGCAAAAUAACCCUCUUUUCAUCACAGAAGCCAUCUUCUACACCUUUUGUGGGACCUCCUGCAAAAAGCAGCAGAGUUUGCUCUGUUUCUUUUAAAAAUAAAGUACUAAAGUGUCAUGCUGGAAAUUAUGCUACUAAGUGUUACAUGUGGUCUGCAGGACGCGCUGAAGUGUUCUCCCAUCAUGCAAGGGAGAAAACGAAGCUCUCUACUGGCCUCUAUCAGAGAAGCUAAAAAUUUCCCUCUCUUUCCUGCAAGUUUCCCAAACAUCAUGAUUCUGAUUUCCAGGUCAGAGAGUAAGGUUGUAUUCUUUGCAUAUGGAGAGUCCCUGGAACUGCAUUGUGAUGGGCUAAUUAUUAUGAACCUAUUGUGAGCAAGGCCAGACCCUGGGUGUGGCAGAAGAAACUUAACACACCUGCUCAAUGAUCUGCAGGCCCCAAGUGCUCCUGAUGAACAGCUCCCUCCCUGCAGCCUGGAGUUGGUGAGCAGACUCUUUCUUUGGGCUGAGCCAGUUCCCAUGAUUUUAAAGGGAUUGGGAGAAGGACCCAAUAUUUAAGAGGACUGGAAAGCUGUAUGUGGCAUUUCUGAUUUCAUUCCUAAAUGGUAGUUCCCUUAAGUAUGUGGAAAAUAAGAAACUUUGCUAAAAUUUUUAACUUGAAAAGACCAUUGGUUUGAGAGAGAUGAAAACCAUGUCCAUAUAAAAACUUGUGCGCAAAUGUACACAGAAGCAUUGUUCAUUAUAGCUCAAAAGAGGAAACAGUUCAAAUGCCCAUGAAUCAAUGAAUGAAUAAACAACCUUAGUAUAUCCCCGCAGUGAAAUACUAUUUGGCAAUAAAAAAGGAAUGAAAUAUUGAUGCAUGCUGCAGUGUUGAUGAGCCUUAAAACAUUAUGCUGAGUGAAAGAAGCCAUUCACCAAGGAGCACAUACUGUAUGAUUCUAUUUGUAUGAAAUUCCUAUAAUGGGCAAAUCUAUAGAGAGAGAAAACAGGCGAGUGGUCACCAAGGGCUGUAGGUCAGAGUGGAGGCAUGGAAGGUGACUGUUGAGUGGUUCAGAGUUUCUGCUGGGGAUGAUGAAAAUGUUCUAAAAUUAGUUGUGGUGAAUGCUGAACAACUCUGUGAAGGUACCAGAAAUGAUUGAAUUUUGCACUUUAAAUGUGGAAAUUGCAUGGUGUGCAAAUUAUAUCUCAAUAAAGCUGUUAAUUUAAAAAACUCAUACU